GGCUGGGCCUUUGUCUCUCGCUCCCACCAGAGCUUGGAAUCCGUCUCUGCUCUUCUGCAUUCUCCACCUCGGGAGCCCCUGGGGACUCUGUGACGGCCUCUGUUGCCCUGUGAUCUGCAGGUCCGGAGAGACGCACAGCUAAGAUGUCAGGACAUCCUGGAAGCUGGGAAAGGGUCUUGCCAUCUCUAAGCUGGACCUGGUGACCUUUUUGGAGGGAAAGAAAGAGCCCUGGACUGUGAAGAGUGAGGAGACCAUAGCUGCACAGCCAGAGAUGGGGUUCCAUCAUGUUUUCCAGGCUGAUCUCAAACUCCCACGGUCAAGCGAUCUGCUGGCCUCGGCCUCUCAAGAUGUAUAAUCUCAUCCCUGAACAUUUCUGAUGGUGUGAUUAUGACAUGUGACUUUAUCUGGCAACAGAGUGAGUUGUUGCUCCCGCCUGAGCCCAGCCCCCAGAAAGGAUUGUGACAUAUCGUUGGACCCAGAAUUGAGGCUCUGCAUAUUUGGGUAUUGUGACAUAUUGCUGAACUCAACACCUAAGGGAUGGGAGUCUCCUACCUAGGCCCUUCCUACAGGGGACAUUGUGACAUGUCUCUGCAUUCCUCAUCCAGGAGAUGUGACUCUCCUUUUCUGCCUACACCCUGCCUACACAGAAAGUUGUGGCAUAUUGCUGUGGUCAGCAACCAGAUGAUAUAUUUCUCCUGCCUGGGUCUUUAUUACAGGAAAGAUGAUUGACAUAUUACUGGGCCCAGCAUCCAGAUGAUGUGACUCUCUUCUUCUGUUGGUCCUUGCUUACAGGGAAACUGUAGCAUAUUGCUACACCCAACACCUAGCUUAUGUGAUUCUUCUUUUAGGUUUGCCUUCAGGGAACAUUGUGACAUAUUGCUGGGCCCUGCACUGAUAAUUUGUGACUCUUCUGCCUGUGAUUUGCCCACUUGGGGCAUUGUGACAUAUUGCUGGGUUUAACACUCAGGUGAUGUAACUUUUAUGCCUAGGCCUUGCUUACAGGAGGCAUUUUGAAAUGUCUUUGUGGCUGGGCAUGGUGGCUCAUGUCUGUAAUCCCAGCGCUUGGGGAGGCCAAGGUGGGCAGAUCACAAAGUCAGGAGUUCGAGACCAGCCUGGUCAACAUGGUGAAAACCUGUCUCUACUAAAACAAAACAAAACAAAACAAAACAAAA
rnacentral:lncRNA from 1 species